AGUGAACGCUGGCGGUAGGCCUAACACAUGCAAGUCGAACGGCAGCACAGUAAGAGCUUGCUCUUACGGGUGGCGAGUGGCGGACGGGUGAGGAAUACAUCGGAAUCUACUUUUUCGUGGGGGAUAACGUAGGGAAACUUACGCUAAUACCGCAUACGACCUACGGGUGAAAGCAGGGGAUCUUCGGACCUUGCGCGAUUGAAUGAGCCGAUGUCGGAUUAGCUAGUUGGCGGGGUAAAGGCCCACCAAGGCGACGAUCCGUAGCUGGUCUGAGAGGAUGAUCAGCCACACUGGAACUGAGACACGGUCCAGACUCCUACGGGAGGCAGCAGUGGGGAAUAUUGGACAAUGGGCGCAAGCCUGAUCCAGCCAUACCGCGUGGGUGAAGAAGGCCUUCGGGUUGUAAAGCCCUUUGUUGGGAAAGAAAAGCAGCAGGUUAAUACCCCGCUGUUCUGACGGUACCCAAAGAAUAAGCACCGGCUAACUUCGU
rnacentral:rRNA from 1 species